AACGAACGCUGGCGGCAGGCUUAACACAUGCAAGUCGAGCGCCCCGCAAGGGGAGCGGCAGACGGGUGAGUAACGCGUGGGAAUCUACCCAUCUCUACGGAAUAACGCAUGGAAACGUGUGCUAAUACCGUAUACGUCCUUCGGGAGAAAGAUUUAUCGGAGAUGGAUGAGCCCGCGUUGGAUUGGCUAGUUGGUGGGGUAAAGGCCUACCAAGGCGACGAUCCAUAGCCGGUUUGAGAGGAUGAUCAGCCACACUGGGACUGAGACACGGCCCAGACUCCUACGGGAUGCAGCAGUGGGGAAUAUUGGACAAUGGGCGCAAGCCUGAUCCAGCCAGGCCGCGUGAGUGAUGAAGGCCCUAGGGUUGUAAGGCUCUUUCACCGGUGAAGAUAAUGACGGUAACCGGAGAAGAAGCCCCGGCUAACUUCGUGCCAGCAGCCGCGGUAACAC
rnacentral:rRNA from 1 species